ensembl:lncRNA
UUUAAAUGUAUAAAAUCUCUUUGUUGUUCUCUGAAUAUUCCUUUUCAUGUCUUCUCUUUCUCUGUCUUAAUUAAUCUCGUCUAAGACUUCUAUAUUGUUUAACCUUUUCAAACAGUCAUCUUGGUUUGUUAAUUUUCUCUCUUUCAUUUAUUACUUUCCUCAUGUGGCAGUUCAAGUUCAAACUUGAACACUUGUACAAAGACUCCUUGGAUGAUCUGCUUGUGAUAUUGGAGCAUUUCCUCCUUGCUGGCUGACACAAUGGCAAGCUUUGUCAGUGAAGAGUGCCGAAGAGACACUGCAAGAGGAAGGGGCUUCUCUCCCAGUUCCAGGUUUUGAUCUGUGGUUGGUUGAAUACAUGGAUGCAGAACCCACGGAUGGUGAGGACUGAUUGUACUCAGAAACUCGUCGUAUCCUCAUGUUGGCUCUUGGACCCAUUGGAUGGAGGCCAUCAUGGUUGGAAAGGCUAAAUGAAAAACCCUUGGAACUUCUCCUCCCUACCAAGGUCAGAGGCCUCAUCUUCCUAGAAGUUCAUUCUUCAGAUUGUCAGCAACGUGAGUCUUUCCCUCUCUCCCAGCCCAUGGGUAAAUUGAUGAUACCAGUGGAUACUUUACAGGGUCUUGGGCCUGAGAGUCAGGGAUCAGGCUUGAGGAUUCGGGUAAAAAGAUUGUGGAAUUUUCUUCCUAAAAUCGAAUUAAUAUACUCAAAUGAUAAAGGUGAUGCUUUUGCAAACCAAAUGCGAACCAUUGAUUAAUAGCCUGAUGUUUUUAAAUUGCUUUUAAUAAUUGAGAAUAGUUUGGAAUAGUUGGAACAAACAAGGACAGUUGAUAGACUCUCUCGGGUUUGGUACUGGUCAUGCUCAAUGUUACCUGUAUAAUUUUCUCCCAAACUUUUGAUACCCAAUAUCCUCAUGUGUCUAAUAAUACAUACUUCACAGGUUCAUUUUUUUUUUCAUUUUUUUUUGUGUGUUGAGGAUUUUUAUAUUUUUAUUUUUUUUAUUUUUUAUUAUUAUUAUACUUUAAGUUCUAGGGUACACGUGCAUAACGUGCAGGUUUGUUACAUAUGUAUACUUGUGCCAUGUUGCUGUGCUGCACCCAUCAACUCGUCAGCACCCAUCAACUCGUCAUUUACAUCAGGUAUAACUCCCAAUGCAAUCCCUCCCCCCUCCCCCCUCCCCAUGAUAGGCCCCGGUGUGUGAUGUUCCCCUUCCCGAGUCCAAGUGAUCUCAUUGUUCAGUUCCCACCUAUGAGUGAGAACAUGCGGUGUUUGGUUUUCUGUUCUUGUGAUAGUUUGCUAAGAAUGAUGGUUUCCAGCUGCAUCCAUGUCCCUACAAAGGACACAAACUCAUCCUUUUUUAUGGCUGCAUAGUAUUCCAUGGUGUAUAUGUGCCACAUUUUCUUAAUCCAGUCUGUCACUGAUGGACAUUUGGGUUGAUUCCAAGUCUUUGCUAUUGUGAAUAGUGCCGCAAUAAACAUACGUGUGCAUGUGUCUUUAUAGCAGCAUGAUUUAUAAUCCUUUGGGUAUAUACCCAGUACAGGUUCAUUUUGAGGCUCUAGAGAUAUAGUGCAGCAUAGAGGGUUAAAAUUUCCACACUGUGAUUCAGACAUGCAAAAAGCGUGAAUCUUUAUUUUUGGUAACUGAAUUAAAAUUUGUUCAUGAGCCCCCAGUUAAGGUAAAGCAUAUAAAGAAUUCUAGGCCAGGUGCGGUGGCUCACGCCUAUAAUCCCAGCACUUUGGGAGGCUAAGGUAGGCGGAUCACAAGGUCAGGAGUUUGAGACUAGCCUGUCCAAUAUGGUGAAAUCCUGUCUCUACUAAAAAAUGCAAAAAUUAGCCAGGCAUGGUGGCGCAUACCUGUAGUCCCAGCUACUCAGGAGGCUGAGGCAGGAGAAUCGUUUGAACCUGGGAGGCGAAGAUGCAGUGAGCUGAGAUCGCACCACUGCACCCCAGUCUGGGUGACAGAGUGAAACUACAUCUUAAAGAAAAAAAGGCUAAUUCUUUAUUUUGUUACAUCCAAUAAUUAUUUUCAGCCUGAUUCAGUUAUAAUGUCUUGUGGAACAUGAAACUCUUUUGCAGGGAUGCAGGGAGGCUAAAUCAUCUUUCUCCCAUUCUUUCCAGAAUGUCCAUGAAAAUGAGGUACACCACUUCCUUCAGGCCUGGAGGUGAGGCACUCCUGGUCCUCCUUUUUUUUUUUUCCUUCACCUGUUGGUUGGCUGAAUGCAGAGAGGUCUCAGCCGAGGACUUAGGGAGGCCCUGAAAGAUGAUGGAACCACAAAAUUGGUGGCAUGGUGAUAUAGUUUGAAUAUGUAUCCCUGUGAAAUCUCAUGUUGAAUUGUAAUCCCCAGUGUUGGAAGUGGGACCUGGUGGCAGGGGAUUGGGUCAUGGAGAGGAUCCCUCGUGGUUUGGUGUUGUCCUUGCAUUAGUGAGUUCUCGUGAAAUCUGGUUGUUUAAGAAUGUUACCCAUGCCCUCCAUUCUCUCUCUUGCUCCUACUCUGGCCAUGUGAGGCGCCGGCUUCCCCUUUCACCUUCUGCCACGAUUGAAAGCUCCCUGGGGCUUCACCAGAAGCCAGGCAGAUGCCAGCACCAUGCUUCCUGUAAAGCCUGCAGAAUCAUGACCAAUUAAACCUAUUUUCUUUAUAAAUUACCCAGCCUCAGGUAUUUCUUUAUAGCAAUGCGAGAAUGGCCUCAUACACAGGGGGAUCCCCAAAUCACCACAUAGAAGAAUUUCUACUGAACUCUUAAACUCUUGGAUCGUAAUGUGAAUGAGAAAUAAAGAUGUACUUGUUAAGACAUUGAAAUUUUUGAGUUGCUCAUGACAUCAACAACUAUAAUUACUAUGAGUACAUGGGUAAUACACAUGGUCUAUUGGCAAUGAAAACUU